GCUGGGGCAGUGUCGUGCGGCGUGGCUGCCGUCCCCGUCGUCCCACACCAUCUCCCGAAAUCCUCAGACAUCUACGCCUGCCCGCUGUAUCAGCUGUCUCUCCGCCGCUGUCCCGCACGGUCGGUUGCGGCAUUGGGGCCUUUCCACUCUGUGGCUCUUGGAGACAGAUGGCAGUGCUCCGUUGGAUGGCCCUUGGGGCUCUGCACCAGUCGGCGCCCCUUCUCUCCUGCAGGACCCUGAUCUCACUGCCUGAUGGGCCAAAGAGCUCGUUCGGGUUUUCCGGUGCCUUUUGCAGUCUCCCAGGGAAUUGAAAAUUUUUCCAUUAAGACAAUUUUGUGAAGACCAAAAUAAAUGGAAAUCUGAAGGUGUGCUGACUCAGCUCCUCCUCAGCUGCAUAACCUUGGGAGAGUCGUGUGACUGCUGUUCCAUGUACAUGAGAUGUGUCCUCGGGGAGAGCCUGGGUUAUGCGGUCCGGACGGGUCUGCGGGUGCCAAGGUGCUGUGGGAAGCAUCAGCCAUCUUCAUGUCAGUCUGUAUCAGCUGGGCGCUACACCAUGGGGCCCUGAGGUGAACCUGCGGCGCUGCCUUCACCUCGUAGACUCAGAUGACGCAACGCAGUGCCCCGGAAAGUCAUGUCCUGGCUGAGCCUUCACGUGGGCCUGGCAGUUGGAUCUCCAAAGAUGUGGGCACCGAGCAAGUCCUGCUGGAUGUUUAUCUUCCAUUCGCCUCUUCUGGCUGGGUCAGAUACUGUGGGUCUUUGCAGAACAAGAUGACCGCUGCAGGGGCCUUGUGACAGGCUGGGCAGGUCAGCCUUGGGUUGGAGACUGCUGAAGGAAGCCCCAAGGCCAUGGAUCAGUGACCCUCAGGAUGACUUGGGACCUGGGUUUCCUUUUAUUUCUCGCCAAGAUUCUCAUGGUGAUGGUUGUGGACGCCCGAGGGACAGAGUGUCAAGGGCAAGAUUCCCACAUGAAGCCUCCCCACGGCGCCUCCCCAGUGCCUGCUCAGAGCGUCGCGUGACAACCGGUCCCUCUGCACGAGAGACCCCGGAGGGAAAGCCUGGGGUCCACCUCAGCUGGUUCUGCAUCUUGACAGUGGCACCCAUAGAGGGCCCGCCUCGUGUCCCUUGCAUGGUAUGACCUCAGUAACCACCCCUUUAAUAAAUCUUACAA